AAUAGAGUGCCUGAUAAAAAGGGUUAUUUUGAUAGAAUAAAACAUGUAAAAUUUUACCUCUAUUA
rnacentral:tRNA from 1 species